rnacentral:rRNA from 1 species
UACGAGAGGCCCAAACGUUAUUCGGAAUCAUUGGGCUUAAAGCGCGUGUAGGCGGAUGGGAACGUCGAUGUUGAAAGCCCCCGGCUCAACCGGGGAACUGGCGUCGAAACGACCCGUCUGGAGGGGCAUAGGGGGAGCUGGAACUUCCGGUGGAGCGGUGAAAUGCGUUGAGAUCGGAAGGAACGCCCGUGGCGAAAGCGAGCUCCUGGAUGUCUUCUGACGCUGAGACGCGAAAGCUAGGGUAGCGAACGGG